CCUACGGGAGGCAGCAGUAGGGAAUUUUGCGCAAUGGGCGAGAGCCUGACGCAGCAACGCCGCGUGAUCGAGGAGCCCUUCGGGGUGUAAAGAUCUGUCAGUGGGGACGAAACUUGACGGUACCCAACGAGGUAGGACAGGAUAACGCCGUGACAGCAGCCGCGGUUAUACGGGGGGUGCAAGCGUUGUACGGAUUCUUCGGGCGUAAAGGGUUCGUAGGCGGUGUGAAAAGUUCGGUGGUAAAGUCUGAGGCGAAACUUUUGUAUGGCACUGGAUACUUGCGUUCUUGAGUGCGGUAGAGGUAAAUGGAAUGCCUGGUGUAGCGGUGAAAUGCUUAGAUAUCACGAGGAACAUCGAUGGCGAAAGC
rnacentral:rRNA from 1 species